CCUUAGCGAGGCCAUGGGGGAAAAAGUCUAACUGGCGGAACUCCUGGGAACUGGGGCGAUGGGCUCUUAGUAUCGGAGGAUUGGAGCCAUCUGAUUUUUACCUGAAAUUCCUUAGUCUCUCCUGUGUUGGGGAAAUGGUCACCUUGCCUUCAGGGACCUGGGCUUUCAGCUGUCCAUACCUGGCCCUGGUUGAUGGCGGCAUGCUGGGCAGUGCACGUGAAGACGCACAUGGGAUUCUUUCUGUUGCAAGUAAUGAAAACUCAACUAAAAAUGGCUUAAGAGAAAGAAAAGGAAGAUAUUGAUUCAUAAUACUGGAAAGUCCAGGGCCACAGUGCCUUCAGGGGCUACUGGAGGCUGUGCUUCUUGAAUGAGAGGACAAGCCAAGAAAGAACAUAUGGGACACAACAGGUAGGAAUCAAACACAGGAGAGUGGUGAAGGGACUCUAGGGUAAGGGUGAUGGGAGAGUCCAGAAUGACAGUUAUGCACUAGGUGCAGAAGGAAACAAGUCCAGCCUGAAGAAGUGGGACACCAGGACUCCAGGGAGAGACACACUGAGGGCUUCCAUCACCACCAUCCCCACUGCCAUCAUGCUAACUUUUAAAUCAAGGACUCAAUACCCAGAGUCUGGCCCAGAUUUUUCCUUUGUACUUUCUUUAUUUUGACCACAUGCUGAUAAAGUUCCUGCUCAUUCCUCGA
ensembl:lncRNA MIR497HG mir-497-195 cluster host gene